rnacentral:rRNA from 1 species
AGUGAACGCUGGCGGUAGGCCUAACACAUGCAAGUCGAACGGCAGCACAGUAAGAGCUUGCUCUUACGGGUGGCGAGUGGCGGACGGGUGAGGAAUACAUCGGAAUCUACUUUUUCGUGGGGGAUAACGUAGGGAAACUUACGCUAAUACCCCAUACGACCUACGGGUGAAAGCAGGUGAUCUUCGGACCUUGCGCGAUUGAAUGAGCCGAUGUCGGAUUAGUUAGUUGGCGGGUUAAAGGCCCACCAAGGCGGCGAUCCGUAGCUGGUGUGGGAGGCUGAUAAGCCACACUGGAAGUGAGACACGGUCAAGACUCCUACGGGAGGCAGCAGUGGGGAAUAUUGGACAGUGGGGGGAAGCAUGAUCCAGCCAUACCGAGUGGGUGAAGAAGGCCUUCGGGGUGUAAAGACCUUUUGUUGGGAAAGAAAAGCAGCAGGUUAAUAACCCGCUGAUCUGACGGUACCCAAAGAAUAAGCACCGGCUAACUUCGUG